ensembl:miRNA
CAGGUCCGGGAUGCGGUGCACUGUUGUCAUGCCCCCACUCCAAUAUUGCACUCGUCCCGGCCUCC